UUUUUAUUGGUCGUCAUGAAAAAAAAACAUAAGGGGUAACACUGUUGUUUUUUAUUGGUCGUCAUGAAAAAAAACAUAAGGGGUAACACUGUUGUCUUUGUCAAAUAAAAUAUAAGGGGUAACACUCGUUUUUUAACCAGUCGUCAUGAAAAAAACAUAAGGGGUAACACUGUCGUUUUUUUAUUGGUCGUCAUGAAAAAAAACAUAAGGGAAAUAAUAGAAUUACACACAUACAUUUUAAUGUCAUGUAUAUCCUCUUUAUUAAUGAUUGAUUAUUGUGUAUUGUCAUCGCCUCAGUGGUACAGUGGAGUGCACUCUGCCUAACCUACUGGUGACCGCGGCUCAAUUUCUGUGGACAACACAAUAUCUUUAAUUUGAAACGUAAUGCUAUCAUAUGUCAUAUUUGACCACAAACAAACAAAUUUAAAUUACAAAUCUCAUUGGGAAGUGGAGAGAGCUGUGAGCGAACCCCCUGGAGACCGGGGUUCAAGUCCUGUUGAUGUCCUCUGUUGGAAGACUCUUAUCUCUAUUUCAUGCAAAUUAUAAAGUCAAGUAUAACCAUUGUGUUGGAUUUAUUCUGUCUCUUGAUGGUGCAUUGAUAAGGUUGGAAUUUAUCACUCUAAACAGCUCAUGUUCGGGUCCCCGCAAAAACGUCGGCAGUGGUACCACUGUAGAACUUUAUUGGUCAACAUGGAAAAAACAUGAGGGCUAACUGUCGUUUUUUAUCAGCCGUCAUGAAAUGAACAUAAGGGGUAACAAUGUCGAUAUUUAUCAAAUAAAACAUAGGGGGUAACACUGUUGUUUUUCUUUGGUCGUCAUGAAAAAAACCACAGGGGGUAACACUGUUGUUUUUUAUUGGUCGUCAUGAAAAAAAACAUAGGGGUCACACUGUUGUUUUUUAUUGGUCGUCAUGAAAAAAACCAUAAGGGGUAACACUGUUGUUUUUUAUUGGUCGUCAUGAAAAAAAUCCUAAGGGGUAACUUGUUUUUCUUUGGUCGUCAUGAAAAAAACCAUAAGUGGUAACACUGUUGUUUUUAUUGGUCGUCAUGAAAAAAAA
ensembl:lncRNA